CUUAUCAAGAGUGGUUGAGGGAUCGGCCCGAUGAAACCACGGCAACCUGCCCGAAAGCAAGGUGCCAAAUCCGACGUAUGCUGAGCGCGGAAG
rnacentral:ncRNA from 1 species